UUAGCACUUUUUUCCAUCCAGCAAACCGCCCUAUCGAUUUUCUAAUGUCGUUUUUUUGCAUUUUUUUAUUAAUUCGAUUAGGGUUGGAGUUAGGGUUGGGGUUAGGGUUAAGGGUUAGAGUAGGGACUAGGUGUAGGGUAUUUAAAGGCCGCUUUCCGCUUCAACCGUAUCGUACACGCGUAAAAACGCUCAGGUUGAUGCAAUACUG